AGCCUUAUAUUCAUUGAUGAUAGUAGAAUGCAAUUCUAAAGGAGUAGAAUACUACUAAGGCUU
rnacentral:tRNA from 1 species